GGGGUAGGGCCAGAAAAUUUGCAUCUCUAACAAGCUCCCAGGUAGUGCUGAUGCUGCUGGUCCCCAGAAGGCAAGGGAGAAGAGGGUACUGAAAAUAAAAAUGCAGCAGAAAGUAGCAGACGUUUUCAAUGAGCACCUACUAUGUGCCUGGCCCCAGGCCAGACCUGGGGACCCAGAGGAGACCCUCCUUAACUUGGCAGUCUAGAGACUGAGCCCCCCAGACAAACAAUUACAUGUUCUUAGGUUCCGUGGAAGGGACCUCCACUUGCUUCUUGGAGAUAUACGUGGCUAGGAAGAGCAUGACUGCCACCCUUGCUAUAUCAGAAGGCCAGACAAACUGCAAAUUCAAACUUUCCUGGAAUUCAUAAGACAGCAAGGUCACAGGGCAAAGAAGUAACCCAAGAUGGAAGGACAGACAGACAUCUGCGGGAAAAGAUGAGACAUCAGCCCUUGCUUCCCUGGGGCAGAUGCAGCAGGACAUGGGGGCUUUUGGAGAACAUAAAAGAAUUCAAUGGGAAAAAAUGUUCAUCUUUCAGAAAACGCUAAUAACUAAGAUAUGCUGCUUCUUAAUGAGAGGCCAACAAGAGUCAGGCUAACUCGAGGAGAGAAAGGUAGCCAUACGGAGAAACAGUUACUGUUUUAGCAGCUGGUACCAGAAUUCCUCUGUAGAAAGAGACCCGUCUUAAUUGAGAAGUUGAAAAGACUUUAUCAAGUCCACUGGAGAGAAGGAAGUCCUCAGAUUUCAGACUAGAGAAGGAAGAGGCAGGCAAGGGGACUGAGGCUGCUUGGAGCUUGAGUCGGGAAAAGGUGAGGUCGGAAGAAGACAUUUGAAGGAAAACAGUGGCCCAAAAGAUUUUAAUAAAGACUACACUGAUGCUGGUUGGAAUGCAGUUUGGUGCAGCCAUUGUGGAAAACAGUAUGGAGAUUCCUCAAAAGACUAAAAAUAGGCUUACCAUAUGACCCAGCAAUCCCACUCCUGGGCAUAUAUCCAGAAGGAACCCUAAUUCAAAAACACACCUGCACCCCAAUGUUCAUAGCAGCACAAUUUACAAUAGCCAAGACAUGGAAACAACCUAAAUGUCCAUCGACAGAUGACUGGAUAAAGAAGAUGUGGUAUAUUUAUACAAUGGAAUACUAUUCAGCCAUAAAAAUGUCAACAUAAUGCCAUUUGCAGCAACAUGGAUGUCCCUGGAGAAUGUCAUUCUAAGUGAAGACCGAAAGAGAAAGAAAAAUACCAUAUGACAUCACUCACAUGUGGAAUCUAAAAAAAAAAAAAAAAAAGACAAA